rnacentral:tRNA from 1 species
GCGGAUGUGGCGGAAUUGGUAGACGCGCAGCGUUGAGGUCGCUGUUCUUUAAUCGGAGUGAAGGUUCGAGUCCUUUCAUCCGCACCA